GCGAAGAUGGCGGAGUUGGUACAGCGCCUGGGUGCUUCUAGGUGUGCGUGUUCGAUUCCCGCUUGGGGCU